rnacentral:rRNA from 1 species
CCUACGGGCGGCAGCAGUGAGGAAUAUUGGUCAAUGGACGCAAGUCUGAACCAGCCAUGCCGCGUGCAGGAAGACGGCUCUAUGAGUUGUAAACUGCUUUUGUACGAGGGUAAACGCAGAUACGCGUAUCUGUCUGAAAGUAUCGUACGAAUAAGGAUCGGCUAACUCCGUGCCAGCAGCCGCGGUAAUACGGAGGAUUCAAGCGUUAUCCGGAUUUAUUGGGUUUAAAGGGUGCGUAGGCGGUCGGAUAAGUUAGCGGUGAAAUCCCGAGGCUCAACUUCGGAAUUGCCUUUGAUACUGUACGGCUAGAGUGUACUUGAGGUAGGCGGAAUGUGUGGUGUAGCGGUGAAAUGCUUAGAGAUCAUACAGAACACCGAUUGCGAAGGCAGCAUACCAAGCUACUACUGACGUUGAGGCACGAAAGCGUGGGGAGCAAACAGGAUUAGAUACCCCUGUAGUC